AGUGAACGCUGGCGGUAGGCCUAACACAUGCAAGUCGAACGGCAGCACAGGAGAGCUUGCUCUCUGGGUGGCGAGUGGCGGACGGGUGAGGAAUACAUCGGAAUCUACUCUUUCGUGGGGGAUAACGUAGGGAAACUUACGCUAAUACCGCAUACGCCCUUCGGGGGAAAGCAGGGGAUCGCAAGACCUUGCGCGAUUGAAUGAGCCGAUGUCGGAUUAGCUAGUUGGCGGGGUAACGGCCCACCAAGGCGACGAUCCGUAGCUGGUCUGAGAGGAUGAUCAGCCACACUGGAACUGAGACACGGUCCAGACUCCUACGGGAGGCAGCAGUGGGGAAUAUUGGACAAUGGGCGCAAGCCUGAUCCAGCCAUACCGCGUGGGUGAAGAAGGCCUUCGGGUUGUAAAGCCCUUUUGUUGGGAAAGAAAAGCAUUCGGUUAAUACCCGAGUGUUCUGACGGUACCCAAAGAAUAAGCACCGGCUAACUUCGUGCCAGCCGCCGCUGUAACAC
rnacentral:rRNA from 1 species